UGGCCGGCUUUCACCCUGCCCUUCCGCCCUGGCACAGGAACUCUAAGAAGGCCACUACUAAUGCACCUCCCUCCACCUGGCUGUGUCCCCCUUCCCACCAGAAGCAGACGACACUUCCUGACUUGACCAGGCCUGCCUUGAGUGUGCUUUGAGCAACAGAAUGACGCAUUGAAAGUGCAACUUACAGGAAAUGACGUUCCUGUGCUUCUGGGGCCACACAUGAAGCGCACUGCCACUUUUCCUCUUACCCGGAAGCCAUCCAUGCACGGGAAUGAAAUCCAACCACACAAAACUCACCAAGCUACACAGAAGCCCAAACUAUCCACACAGAAGCUCCAUGAAGGAAGACAGGGAGGCCCAGGCAAUUGGCUAGAGGCACCAAGUAGUCAAGUAAAGAAGCUUCUUGUUUUACUUUGAUUUGUUUUGAGUGUCCAAACCCCAAAUUACGCUCUAUAAGCAGAACCACCCAGCUGCACUCAGCUCAGGCUGUAGAAUUACGGGAAAUGACAAAAUGGAGGUGUCUCCCAAACUCCAAACCGGGAUGUGCGCUCCCAGGUAGAUACCGCAUCUCACUCAACACCAGGUUCCGCUUCACACGGGACCAAACCCCUUCACUUCCAGCCCGCCUUCUCUGAAUCAGUUAGGCGUUGUGUUCAGUCACCCACCAGAAUCCCAGCCUCGCUGGAUUAAUCAGACACUGGCUGGUUUCCCGUUUCCUGUCCCUCUAGCUUUCAAGUGUGUCUUUCUUCUUUGUGGUUAGCUCAAGACUGCAGCAUGGCUUCUUUGUUGCUAGCCUCACACCCACAUCGCAGACCGGAAGAAACGACAAGUGUCAGCACCCCCUCAUCUCACCAACCAGAUCUGUGCCACAAGGCCACCCACGGCUGAGGACAGCAAACAUCUAGGAGAAUCUCACCUUUGACCCGGAAGCACUCACUACCUGGAACUGUCUGCCUGUGGGUACGAAGGAGAAAACAUGGGUAGUGACUAGUGUUCUCCUCAUCCUCCACCUAAAGUGGGGUUAGAACUUACCUUGAUGAGCUGUUGAAUUUCAGAGAGACUGUGAGCAAACUUCAUAGUACCCAAGGCAUAGUAGCGCUCAGGGAAAGCCGUGUAUCCUACAUUUCAAGAAGUGGCCUUUAGCUGGGAGUCUUCCUGAAGGAGCUGAAAACGUAUUAUAGAGACAUGGUUUGGACUCUGUGCAGUUCUUUUACAUUGAACUCACUUCUUGGUUAAUAAAUAUGUUCUUGAUAGUCUACUCAACCGCUAAUAAAUCCAACUGGAUUGUCA